rnacentral:rRNA from 1 species
CGGCGGACGGGUGAGUAACGCGUGGGUAACCUGCCUCAUACAGGGGGAUAACAGUUAGAAAUGACUGCUAAUACCGCAUAAGACCACAGCACCGCAUGGUGCGGGGGUAAAAACUCCGGUGGUAUGAGAUGGACCCGCGUCUGAUUAGGUAGUUGGUGGGGUAACGGCCACCAAGCCGACGAUCAGUAGCCGACCUGAGAGGGUGACCGGCCACAUUGGGACUGAGACACGGCCCAA